rnacentral:rRNA from 1 species
UGCCAGCCGCCGCGGUAAUACGGAGGGUGCAAGCGUUGUUCGGAAUUAUUGGGCGUAAAGCGCGUGUAGGCGGUUCGUUAAGUCUGAUGUGAAAGCCCGGGGCUCAACCCUGGAACUGCAUCCGAAACUGGGUACCUUGAGUGCGGGAGAGGGAAGCGGAAUUCCUGGUGUAGAGGUGAAAUUCGUAGAUAUCAGGAGGAACACCGGUGGCGAAAGCGCAUCACUGGAUCUUUUCUGACGCUGAGGCACGAAAGCUAGGGUAGCGAACGGGAUUAGAUA